GAUGAACGCUGGCGGCGUGCCUAAUACAUGCAAGUCGAGCGAACGGACGAGAAGCUUGCUGUUCUGAUGUUAGCGGCGGACGGGUGAGUAACACGUGGAUAACCUACCUAUAAGACUGGGAUAACUUCGGGAAACCGGAGCUAAUACCGGAUAAUAUUUUGAACCGCAUGGUUCAAAAGUGAAAGACGGUCUUGCUGUCACUUAUAGAUGGAUCCGCGCUGCAUUAGCUAGUUGGUAAGGUAACGGCUUACCAAGGCAACGAUGCAUAGCCGACCUGAGAGGGUGUUCGCCCACACUGGAACUGAGCCACGGUCCAGACUCCUACGGGAGGCCGCAGCAGCGAAUCUUCCGCGAUGGGCGGAAGCCUGACGGAGCGGCGCCGCGUUAGUGAUGAAGGUCUUCGGAUCGUAAAACUCUGUUAUUAGUGAAGACCAUAUGUGUAAGUAACUGUGCACAUCUUGACGGUACCUAGUCAGAAAGCCCCGGCUAACUACGUG
rnacentral:rRNA from 1 species